AGAGUUGAUCCUGGCUUAGGACGAACGCUGGCGGCGUGCUUAACACAUGCAAGUCGAACGGAACACCCUUGACAGAGGUUUCGGCCAAUGAAGAGGAAUGUUUAGUGGCGGACUGGUGAGUAACGCGUGAGGAACCUGCCUUUCAGAGGGGGACAACAGUUGGAAACGACUGCUAAUACCGCAUGAAGCAGCGAGGGGACAUCCCCUUGCUGUCAAAGAUUUAUCGCUGAAAGAUGGCCUCGCGUCUGAUUAGCUAGUUGGUGGGGUAACGGCUCACCAAGGCGACGAUCAGUAGCCGGACUGAGAGGUUGACCGGCCACAUUGGGACUGAGAUACGGCCCAGACUCCUACGGGAGGCAGCAGUGGGGAAUAUUGGGCAAUGGAACCGCAAGUCUGACCCAGCAACGCCGCGUGAAGGAAGAAGGCUUUCGGGUUGUAAACUUCUUUUAACAGGGAAGAGAAGAAGACGGUACCUGUUGAAUAAGCCACGGCUAACUACGUGCCAGCCGCAGC
rnacentral:rRNA from 1 species